GUCUUUAAUGGUUUAGCGGCAGAAACGAUAAAAGGAUAGGUUUGGGAAUAUUUUUCGGGAAAAAUGUCAAAAAAAUCGCGAACUUUCAAAUUUGGGAUGAAAAAAGCAUAAAUAUUCAAGAAGACAAUUAAAUCCUAAAGUUUAGUUUGACUUUUGAUAAAAUGAUCAAGUUUUGUUAACUUGACCAUUUAGGGCAUGUCGUUAAGUUUCCGUCAACCAAACAAUCACAGAGUUAACUUUCCGUUAGAAUCUCUCUUAUAUCAAAACGACGUCGUUUUGAAAAUUAGAAAAUG
rnacentral:sRNA from 1 species